rnacentral:rRNA from 1 species
CCUACGGGAGGCAGCAGUGGGGAAUAUUGGACAAUGGGGGGAACCCUGAUCCAGCGACGCCGCGUGAGUGAAGAAGUAUUUCGGUAUGUAAGGCUCUAUCAGCAGGGAAGAAAGAAAUGACGGUACCUGACUAAGAAGCCCCGGCUAACUACGUGCCAGCAGCCGCGGAAAUACGUAGGGGGAAAGCGUUAUCCGGAUUUACUGGGUGUAAAGGGAGCGUAGACGGCGAUGCAAGUCUGAAGUGAAAGGCGGGGGCCCAACCCCUGGACUGCUUUGGAAACUGUAUGGCUGGAGUGCAGGAGAGGUAAGUGGAAUUCCUAGUGUAGCGGUGAAAUGCGUAGAUAUUAGGAGGAACACCAGUGGCGAAGGCGGCUUACUGGACUGUAACUGACGUUGAGGCUCGAAAGCGUGGGGAGCAAACAGGAUUAGAUACCCUAGUAGUC